UUUUCCACCGGAGCUUGCUCCACCGGAAAAAGAAGAGUGGCGAACGGGUGAGUAACACGUGGGUAACCUGCCCAUCAGAAGGGGAUAACACUUGGAAACAGGUGCUAAUACCGUAUAACAAUCGAAACCGCAUGGUUUUGAUUUGAAAGGCGCUUUCGGGUGUCGCUGAUGGAUGGACCCGCGGUGCAUUAGCUAGUUGGUGAGGUAACGGCUCACCAAGGCCACGAUGCAUAGCCGACCUGAGAGGGUGAUCGGCCACAUUGGGACUGAGACACGGCCCAAACUCCUACGGGAGGCAGCAGUAGGGAAUCUUCGGCAAUGGACGAAAGUCUGACCGAGCAACGCCGCGUGAGUGAAGAAGGUUUUCGGAUCGUAAAACUCUGUUGUUAGAGAAGAACAAGGAUGAGAGUAACUGUUCAUCCCUUGACGGUAUCUAACCAGAAAGCCACGGCUAACUACGUGCCAGCAGCCGCGGUAAUACGUAGGUGGCAAGCGUUGUCCGGAUUUAUUGGGCGUAAAGCGAGCGCAGGCGGUUUCUUAAGUCUGAUGUGAAAGCCCCCGGCUCAACCGGGGAGGGUCAUUGGAAACUGGGAGACUUGAGUGCAGAAGAGGAGAGUGGAAUUCCAUGUGUAGCGGUGAAAUGCGUAGAUAUAUGGAGGAACACCAGUGGCGAAGGCGGCUCUCUGGUCUGUAACUGACGCUGAGGCUCGAAAGCGUGGGGAGCAAACAGGAUUAGAUACCCUGGUAGUCCACGCCGUAAACGAUGAGUGCUAAGUGUUGGAGGGUUUCCGCCCUUCAGUGCUGCAGCUAACGCAUUAAGCACUCCGCCUGGGGAGUACGACCGCAAGGUUGAAACUCAAAGGAAUUGACGGGGGCCCGCACAAGCGGUGGAGCAUGUGGUUUAAUUCGAAGCACCGCGAAGAACCUUACCAGGUCUUGACUA
rnacentral:rRNA from 1 species